UGGCCAUACAAGCUGAAGGCCAGCACUUUGUCAUUUUGCAUUUUUAGCUUAUAUUUUCCCCUUUUCCUCUUUUUAAAGGAACUGGUGUCCAGAACAAGCUCGUGCUGAGCUGUGUGUGAAGGUGGGCCGAGGUGGAGGCCAGGCAGCCAGGAGCCCACAGGCUUGGCUUGUCCGACGGCACGGCCAAGCCCACGCUCAGCCUGCCCAAGAUGGUGAAGGGGACACAGUCCCAGGCGAGCAAGCUGGAUCGAAGCCAGUGACAGCUCUCCCAGAGGGUGAAGAAGGGAAUUUAAGAACACUUCACCCAUCUGGAACUAGGAAAUGCCGUGGGAGCAGACAUAGCCAAGCAUCUGUGGAGGACAUCUGUCACUGGCUGCUUAGUAUCUUCCCAGAUCACCCGGGAUCAUCUCAUCUGGACAUCCUUCACGUAGUCACAUCGUAAAGGUCGUUGCUCCAAAUAAUGAAACAUUCGCAGGUGUAUCUUUUGUGGGGCCACCAUUCACCCACGACAGGUGUGGUGUGGAGUUGGGAUGCGGGCUUGGGUGCAGUGACCAGACGUGGCCACCGCAGUGCCGGAGAACCUGUAGUCAGCCCAGCUGCAGCUGUGCCCUGGGGGAGCUGAGGCAGGAAAGCGCUGGGUGGAGGCCUGGCCCACGUGGAGGAGAAAGUUAAUAAAAUCGAAGGACAGCCAUGAAGGGUCUGAAGA
rnacentral:lncRNA from 13 species